rnacentral:rRNA from 1 species
GGUUAAGUUACUAAGGGCACACGGUGGAUGCCUUGGCGCUAGGAGCCGAAGAAGGACGCAGCGAACUGCGAUAAGCCUCGGGGAGCGGUAAGCACGCUUUGAUCCGGGGAUCUCCGAAUGGGGGAACCCACCAUCUGUAAUGGGAUGGUAUCCGUAUCUGAAUCCAUAGGGUACGAGAAGGCAGACCCGGUGAACUGAAACAUCUAAGUAGCCGGAGGAAGAGAAAACAAUAGUGAUUCCGUCAGUAGCGGCGAGCGAACGCGGAAGAGCCUAAACCGUCAGGUUUACCUGGCGGGGUUGUGGGGCGUCUCACACGUAGUUACAAAAGACGCGCGUAGGUGAACAGUUUGGGAAAGCUGACCACAGAGCGUGAUAGUCGCGUAGCCUAAACGCGCGUCUCUCCGAGACCAACCCCGAGUAGUGCGGGACACGUGAAAUCCCGUAUGAAUCUGGCAGGACCAUCUGCUAAGGCUAAAUACUACCUAGCGACCGAUAGUGAACCAGUACCGUGAGGGAAAGGUGAAAAGCACCCCGGGAGGGGAGUGAAAUAGUACCUGAAACCGUGUGCUUACAAAUAGUCGGAGCCCUAUGCAGCAAACUUGUUUGCCGCACGGGUGACGGCGUGCCUUUUGUAGAAUGAACCGGCGAGUUACGGUAGCGUGCGAGGUUAAGUCGAAGAGACGGAGCCGCAGCGAAAGCGAGUCUGAAUAGGGCGCAAGUACGUUGUCGUAGACCCGAAACCGUGUGAUCUAGCCAUGUCCAGGGUGAAGGUAGGGUAACACCUACUGGAGGCCCGAACCCACGCACGUUGAAAAGUGCGGGGAUGAGGUGUGGCUAGCGGUGAAAUUCCAAUCGAACUCGGAGAUAGCUGGUUCUCCCCGAAAUAGCUUUAGGGCUAGCCUCGGAAUUAGAGUCUUGGAGGUAGAGCACUGAUUGGGCUAGGGGCCCUCAUCGGGUUACCGAACUCAGUCAAACUCCGAAUGCCAAUGACUUAUGUCCGGGAGUCAGACGGUGAGUGCUAAGAUCCAUCGUCAAAAGGGAAACAGCCCAGACCAUCAGCUAAGGUCCCCAAGUGUAUGUUAAGUGGGAAACGAUGUGGAGUUGCCCAGACAACCAGGAUGUUGGCUUAGAAGCAGCCACCAUUUAAAGAGUGCGUAAUAGCUCACUGGUCGAGUGACUCUGCGCGGAAAAUGUAACGGGGCUAAACAUACCACCGAAGCUAUGGCUUGUAGAAUCCUUACGGAUUCUACUUGGGUAGGGGAGCGUUCCAAGCAGCAGUGAAGCCGUACUGGAAAGAGCGGUGGAGCGCUUGGAAGUGAGAAUGCCGGUGUAAGUAGCGAAAAGACAAGUGAGAAUCUUGUCCACCGAAAGCCUAAGGUUUCCUGGGGAAGGCUCGUCCUCCCAGGGUUAGUCGGGACCUAAGCUGAGGCCGAAAGGCGUAGGCGAUGGACAACAGGUUGAUAUUCCUGUACCACCUCUGUUCCGCUUGAGCAAUGGCGUGACGCAGGAGGAUAGGGUGAGCGGCCUACUGGAUGGCCGUCCAAGCAGUAAGCCUGGUGUGUAGGCAAAUCCGCACACCGCUAAGGGCAAGCUGUGAUGGCGAGGGAAAUUUAAGUACCGAAGUCCCUGAUUUCACACUGCCAAGAAAAGCG